AACGGAUUAGAAGAAUACAAUGGCUUGUGUCCACGUUCAACCAACACGGAGAAAUGCGUGAAUGAGUGGAUAUUAAGACCGACCAAGACCCUCGUAGGAUGAUGCAUUACAUGUUCAAAAUUGUUUUGAUGGUUGUAAUCGCAUAGUUUUUGUAUUCUAGUUGUUUUAAUUGUUUGUGUUAUUUUUUAUGAACAACUGUCUUUUCG
rnacentral:lncRNA from 1 species